GGGGGGGAUAAAACCCUAGUAGGGAACCACCUCCAGACCAAUUUACACUCACCUGCGACAAAAUAGGGAGGUUGUGUGCUUGAUUUGCACAGUGCAACUCAAGUUGUAAGCAUCUUGCAUGGGACCAUCUGAUGCACAAGACUUUCCUCUUGAUGAGUAAAAUGAUCUGAUAUCAGACAUUUGAGUUCCUUUGCAGCUUAAGGAGUUAAUCCUAUUUAUCUUAGAGAACAGCAAUUCAACUAUCUGGCUGGCUUGACAAAUAACUAUACACCAACAAUGUGUGCAAAGGCAAUUAAGUGUAUCCUUGGAAAAUUUUAUCUGACAUUAUGCAGAGUUGUUUACAACUUUUUUGUUCAAGCCUAGUGACUUAUUUCAGUGCAUGAAAAUCAUCCCACCUUUCAUCCUGUCCUGACAAACUGGGAUCAUGUAAACAGCACAUUUAGCCAUUAUGUUGAUUUGCACUCUAAUUUUCCUACUUAUAUUAUUUAACUCUGUCUAACGUCAUACAAUUUUAUUAAGCAGGUACACUGGCAGUUAAUUAAUGGGUAACUAGACACAUGGGCAGUCACAUUAUGAAGCAUAAAAUCGUCUAGCGUUGGACAGUAAAAUACUCGAGUAGAGCAUGCAUCAGGGCACAGUACAACCUGAUGGUUAAAUUUGUUUUUUGUAGCAAAAUGGUUUAAGUUUUAUAUCUGAAUUUUUAAUUUUUUUUUUUUGCUUUGUUUUACAGAUCAUUACUUGAACGUGCUGAUGAAAUAUUUAUAAAAUAUCAUGUUACCAAGAUGACAUGCCUCGAAGAGCAAUACAUGAGGGAAUACCUCUAUUUCUAAUCAAAUUACAACAAUACACCAAAGACAGUAGUUCUCGGAUGAAAUGAAAGGAUUGAUAAAUGUUCAUGGCCAGCAGUGGAUAUUUGUGACUAUAAUAAAUGGAUACAAAGAAACUAUGAUGGAUAAAUAUGGCCCCGUAAUGGAUAUUCAGUUGAUGGACAUACAAAGGUCACAGAAAUGUCUAUUUUCAGGUACUGUUCUUUCUUGUUUGCCUGCGAACAGGCUGUAGAUACUUAUAUCCAGGCCAUUGUUUGUUUUUUUUUGUUCUGGGUACAAUGAAAUCCGGCAUAAAUCCUGGCGGUCUAAAUGUUCAGUAUAUUUACAAAUUCGAUCUAUUUUCUGUUCAGUAGACUUCGAUAGCUUGAAAGAAAGUUUAUAACGAUGAUUUUCUCUGCAAAAACUGUACUUUCGAAAUUCGUCAGCUUCUGAAUUUGAUAACCGAUCU